rnacentral:rRNA from 1 species
AGGCCUAACACAUGCAAGUCGAGCGGAAACGAGUUAACUGAACCUUCGGGGAACGUUAACGGCGUCGAGCGGCGGACGGGUGAGUAAUGCCCUGGGAAAUUGCCCUGAUGUGGGGGAUAACCAUUGGAAACGAUGGCUAAUACCGCAUAAUAGCUUCGGCUCAAAGAGGGGGACCUUCGGGCCUCUCGCGUCAGGAUAUGCCCAGGUGGGAUUAGCUAGUUGGUGAGGUAAUGGCUCACCAAGGCGACGAUCCCUAGCUGGUCUGAGAGGAUGAUCAGCCACACUGGAACUGAGACACGGUCCAGACUCCUACGGGAGGCAGCAGUGGGGAAUAUUGCGCAAUGGGCGCAAGCCUGAUGCAGCCAUGCCGCGUGUAUGAAGAAGGCCUUCGGGUUGUAAAGUACUUUCAGCAGUGAGGAAGGUGGUGUCGUUAACGGCGGCAUCAUUUGACGUUAGCUGCAGAAGAAGCACCGGCUAACUCCGUG